CAAUAGCGUAUAUUAAAGUUGUUGCAGUUAAAAAGCUCGUAGUUGGAUUUCUGGUGGGAGCGAUCGGUCUGGCGCUUAGCGCGAGUACUUGCAUCGUCUCCGGCCAUCCUUGGGGAGAGUCUGUCUGGCAUUAGGUUGUCGGGCAGAGGAUCAUCAUCGUUUACUGUGAAAAAAUUAGAGUGUUCAAAGCAGGCUUAUGCCGUUGAAUAUAUUAGCAUGGAAUAAUAAGAUAGGACUUUGGUACUAUUUUGUUGGUUUGCGCACCAAAGUAAUGAUUAAUAGGGACAGUUGGGGGUAUUCGUAUUCCGUUGUCAGAGGUGAAAUUCUUGGAUUUACGGAAGACGAACUACUGCGAAAGCAUUUACCAAGGAUGUUUUCAUUAA
rnacentral:rRNA from 1 species